GUGGGGAAUAUUGGACAAUGGGGGGAACCCUGAUCCAGCCAUGCCGCGUGUGUGAAGAAGGCCUUUUGCUUGUCAAGCACUUUAAGCGAGGAGGAGGCUACCGAGAUUAAUACUCUUGGAUAGUGGACGUUACUCGCAGAAUAAGCACCGGCUAACUCUGUGCCAGCAGCCGCGGUAAUACAGAGGGUGCAAGCGUUAAUCGGAUUUACUGGGCGUAAAUCGCGCGCAGGUGGCCAAUUAAGUCAAAUGUGAAAUCCCCGAGCUUAACUGGGGAAGUGCAUUCGAUACUGGUUGGCUAGAGGAUGGGAGAGGAUGGUAGAAUUCCAGGUGUAGCGGUGAAAUGCGUAGAGAUCUGGAGGAAUACCGAUGGCGAAGGCAGCCAUCUGGCCUAAUACUGACACUGAGGUGCGAAAGCAUGGGGAGCAAACAGGAUUAGAAACCCCUGUAGUCC
rnacentral:rRNA from 1 species